rnacentral:misc_RNA from 1 species
GCGAUUGUUUAGUGAGUUUCUUUCCUCGAUUCUAAUCCUUACUGGCACUGCAGAAUCAAAUUCACUCAAUUCUGGAGGUUGUCCUUUAUUCCACACUACAACAAUUUCACGCACUGAAGAACAUCUCGAGUAAUGAUUGACAUACAUUUUCAGAUUCCAGAUCCGAGCAUCGUAGGUCAUUGUUAAUAAAGUGAACUGAGAGUACUGAUCAUGCAAUGGGUAAGCUUCAUGCGCA